ensembl:lncRNA
AGAAGACAGCACGCUAGCGUAUCUAGUCUGUGUUUAUCUAUGGUCGGCACGUCUGGUAGCAUCUCUGGCUGCUGUUGACCUUGUUUUUGGAGUAAAACACGGUGGAAGCUGAAUUAGUGAGGAUGACUCCUGCUCCUGUCAUCUCUAAGCUCCUCACACAUCUUUACCUGCACAUGAGGAAAAUCACUCCUGUAGAAUGCAGAUGUUCAGAGGGAGAUGAUGCCACAUCUGGUCCAGCUGAUGGAAGGUCUUGAAGUUCUCUGACUGGCCUCGACUGAAGAUGGUCGUCUCACUGGAUUUAAGGUUCAGAUGCUCAGUAACAAACUCCACCAAUGAGCCAACAAGGAAGCUUUAGGUUUAUUAAAUGUUGCUAUGAAGGUUUCGCUGUUUUUCUUUGUGAAUGCAAUGUGCUCCAACUGAAACUUGAAUUAGAACUUAGAAGUAAAUCCUUCCAUCUGAAAGGAUUUAGUUGCAUUAAUAACCUCAUAACAUUAUAAUUUUUCUUCCAGUCUUGGUUGGAAAUAGAAUCUCUGUAUUGAUUCAGUUAAAAACUGAACUUCACAGCAUGUUGAAGCAAAACAACCAGAUGAAAACUGUGAUGGUGUUGGAUUGUCAGACCGUAAUGUUGCAGCUCAAAGCAGCUUUUCUAUCUCAGUUCAUUCUGACAUUCAGCUAUGAAUCAACACAGCAGAUGGUGAUCCAUGCUGUGAAAGUCUCACAUCUCCUGAUUUAAUGGAGCUGCUUUGCACUUUUUACACUGUUUAUUCACCAACACUUUAUUUAAUAAAAGUCCCAUCUAGUUUUUAUGAGGAAUGUGAUGUUUUAAUUUCUCUGUGAAUAACUGCAGUCUAAUGCAACAGCUGGAGUUGUAACAUCUGUCCUGAUAUUGAUCAUGAAGUAUUGAUCAGAGUACUUAUGGUCAGCAGUCAUCCCUGAAGUUUUAUAUUAAAAUCUUUACUUGUGUUGUGAACUUUGGUAAGAAGCAGAAACGUUAGCGUUGCCAUGGAUACAUGAGUGUUAAAUUCUGUCCAUGUUUCCAUUUUGGGAAAUUCAGUCCAGUUCCAGAAUGUGGAGGAAUUUAGUCUCACAAUCACAGACAACAAAUAUUAUCUGAAAGUCGGGUUAUUGUUGUUUAUCAGCACAAUACAAAAAGAUUAAUGUUAGAAAUAUUCCAGUUCAGACUCUAGAAUAUCAUGAUUUAUGUAAAUUUACCUCAAUAAUAUGAAUGUUCAGGUUAAGAUUGUACAGUGAUAUUUAUUAUGUAAGUUUAGCUGAUUAAAGUUUAUAACUCUGCACUGAAGUAUUAUUUAAAUUGACAUCAUUAUUAUGAUAUUUAGGGUCAGACCCUACAGUAUUGAGAUUAAGAAAUCAAAUAUUCUAUGAAAUGUAAAUACACUGAACUCAUUUGGAUAUAUUUAAGUGAGACUCUACAAUAUUAUUUGACACAAAUCUAUCUAAAUCAAAAUUUUAAUAAUUUUCACACCAAACAUUUACUGAUUUAAACAUUAAAAUCACUCCUUUCUAAUCCUCUGCUAUACUUUCAAACCUGAGGCCUUAAAUAGAAACACACAAGGAUCUGAUUGAAGGAACUUCUGCAGAGUCCUGGUUCCAGAACAUGAUGAUAGAAUUAUAGACAAACUUUAACAAAAGCUGCCUGAGAGUUUACAGGUUUUUAUUUAUGGAUUUCUUCAGUAAUUUAAUGAGUGUUAUCAGCAAUAAUCAAGUGUUCAUUUGAUGAACUUCAUUUCCUAAAACAUACAGAAUUGGAGCUCAUAUCUUUGGCAGCUGUAAAGUUUCUGCUCCUUCAAAGUUCACAACACAAUGAAUGAAUUCCUAAAACACUCUCAGUGUUGGAGAGCGUUUGUGAUGCUGAAGCAGUGAUCAGUUUUUCUGUUUCUUCUCUGGAGAUGCACAAUGAGGGACGUCUGCAGAGACUGAGAAAGAGUCUCACCACAUCCUGACAUGAGGAAAAAGACUUUAUUGAAGACUACAAUGAGAAAAACUAUCAGACAGCAGACGGCUGCAUUCAAGGUGAGCUCUGAACAUUUGAUCUGGAACAGGAAUUCAAUAACUGCAGCAUGAGCUUCAUUUCAGUCUGUAGCUGCUGAAUUCAUGGAUGAACCAUCUGGCACUAGAGAGGAAGACCAUCAAACAUCCACAUCAGCUGAUGGAGGUCCAAGAGUCUCACCAAACAAACAACCUACAGAGUGAAGACCUCAAAUCUGAUUGGAUGGCCUCCUAUUCAGCCACGUGUGAACAAAUGCCUCUAAGUUGAUUUGUUUUCUAAAAUAAAUCUAGUUUGAGUCCUAAUCUAUGCCUGUGUGUUUGCUUCUUUACACCGCUGUUAACAGUUUAGGCUGUUAGAUUGUUCCAGAUAAGACAAGUACAAGAUUCUUCAGAGCCGUUCUACCACGAGCCUGACAGGAAGAACUCCAACAGCUACUGAAUGUUCCUGUGGUUCCCUCAAGGCUACAGGAGGAGCCCUACGAGGACAAGAAGGUCCACCUGAUG